rnacentral:misc_RNA from 1 species
CGCACAUUGCGCCCCUUGGUAUUCCGGGGGGCAUGCCUGUUCGAGCGUCACUACACAAAUCAAGCACCGCUUGGUCUUGGACGCGGCCCCCGGGCCCGUCCGCAACCAUUUGGCGGCACCGUCCGGCUUCAGGCGUAGCAAGGACAACCCUCGCCUCCGGAGCCGUGACGGGAGACUGGCCCAGCGAACUUCACAGGGUCGACCUCGGAUCAGGUAGGGAUACCCGCUGAACUUAA